rnacentral:rRNA from 1 species
UACGGAGGGUGCAAACGUUGCUCGGAAUCAUUGGGCGUAAAGCGCACGUAGGCGGUCCAGCAAGUCGGGUGUGAAAGCCCUCGGCUUAAUCGAGGAAGUGCAUUCGAAACUACUGGACUUGAAUACUGGAGGGGGUCGCGGAAUUCCCGGUGUAGAGGUGAAAUUCGUAGAUAUCGGGAGGAACACCAGUGGCGAAGGCGGCGACCUGGACAGAUAUUGACGCUGAGGUGCGAUAGCGUGGGGAGCAAACAGG